UGCUACCAUGCAGUCGAGCGCGAAUGGAGCAAUCCUAGUAGAGCGGCGCACGGGUGCGUAACACGUGGAUAAUCUGCCUGGGUGUCUGGGAUAACCAGUCGAAAGAUUGGCUAAUACCGGAUAAGCCCCCGGGAGCUUCGGCUCUUGAGGGAAAAGGUGGCCUCUGUAUACAAGCUAUCACAUCCAGAUGAGUCCGCGGCCCAUCAGCUAGUUGGCGGGGUAAUGGCCCACCAAGGCAACGACGGGUAGCUGGUCUGAGAGGACGAUCAGCCACACUGGAACUGAGACACGGUCCAGACUCCUACGGGAGGCAGCAGUGGGGAAUUUUGCGCAAUGGGCGAAAGCCUGACGCAGCAACGCCGCGUGUGUGAUGAAGGUCUUCGGAUUGUAAAGCACUUUCGACCGGGACGAAAACCCGUUGGCUAACAUCCAACGGCUUGACGGUACCGGGAGAAGAAGCACCGGCUAACUCUGUGCCAGCAGCCGCGGUAAUACAGAGGGUGCAAGCGUUGUUCGGAAUUAUUGGGCGUAAAGCGCGUGUAGGCGGCUUUGCAAGUCGGGUGUGAAAGCCCUCAGCUCAACUGAGGAAGUGCGCCCGAAACUGCAGAGCUUGAGUGCCGGAGAGGGUGGCGGAAUUCCCCAAGUAGAGGU
rnacentral:rRNA from 1 species